GACCUGUUAGCUCAGUGGAUCAGAGCGCUAGACUUCGAAUCUAGAGGUCGCGGGUUCGACCCCCGUACAGGUCU